rnacentral:lncRNA from 1 species
CCACAGAGGAACAUGUUAAUAUCAUAUAUAUUGAGUCUUCAUUUUUCUUCAAAGUUUCUGCAAUUAUCAGCAGUGGAAAAAUGUCUGAUAAAGAAAGCACAGAAUCUCAGGUCAACUGGCUCCAUGCAUUCUAUGAUCCUUUAGCCACACUUUAUACAUUCUCAUCUUGUAUAUGUCUGGCUGACAUACAUGGUGAUGGAGACUUCAAAUUGAUUAUUGCAGACCUGGGAACAGGAACUUACAACAUGAAGCUCAAAGUAUA